rnacentral:rRNA from 1 species
CGAAAGCCUGACGGAGCAACGCCGCGUGGGGGAGGAAUGUCUGUGGAUUGUAAACCCCUUUUCUCAGGGAAGAAGUUCUGACGGUACCUGAGGAAUCAGCAUCGGCUAACUCCGUGCCAGCAGCCGCGGUAAUACGGAGGAGGCAAGCGUUAUCCGGAAUUAUUGGGCGUAAAGCGUCCGCAGGUGGCGAUUCAAGUCUGCUGUCAAAGCACGGGGCUUAACUCCGUUAAGGCAGUGGAAACUGAAUGGCUAGAGUGCCGUAGGGGUAGAGGGAAUUCCCGGUGUAGCGGUGAAAUGCGUAGAGAUCGGGAAGAACACCAGUGGCGAAGGCGCUCUACUGGGCCGCAACUGACGCUGAGGGACGAAAGCUAGGGGAGCG